GUGGUCCCUCUCAGCAUGAUGGCCUCGACCUAGUCAAAUAACUUGCUUGGUGUCUGAGCACUUCAAGGGGGCUUUGGGACAGAGCUGCUUCCUGUUGCACACGGGCAUGGUGAAGGACAGGCUCUUGGUUAUAGCCUAUUUCUGUGUGGCUGCCGUGAGUAUCGGGGCUCUUGCAUUUCUAGAGGUGAGUUUCACCUGAAAACUUCCAUAGGAAGCGUCAUUCCCCCAGAGUCUCAGCUUUUUCCACUGUUCCCCUGUUCCUGUGUGACUCUGACCAUCAGAACCCAGAGGGGACACAGGGUCCUACCUGGGCCUGUACAAUAUACAGCGUGCAUACUGGCACACACACACACACACACACACACACACACACACACACACACAGAAAGACAGAGCUAUAGACAUACAGAGAGACACAAAGAGAUAGCAAGAAAUAGAGACAGACAGACAUACAGACAGAGACACAAAAAGACGUACGGAGAGAAGGGAGAGGUAGAGAAGAGAUUGUAGAAGCCUAUAAUAUGGAAAAGUCAAGACAGAUUAAACAUGUUUUCCUCUCUCUCUCUCUCUCUCUCUCUCUCUCUCUCUCUCUCUCUCUCUCUCUCUGAAACAGGGUUUCUUUGUGUCCUGGCUGUCGUGGAACUCUCUUUGUAGACCAGGUUGGCCUCGAACUCACAGAGAUCUGCCUGCCUCUGCCUCCUGAGCACUGGGGUUAAAGGCGUGUGCCACCACCGCCCGGCUUAGCAUUUUUCUGAUUGCACAGAGAAUGCAAAGUGUUAAGGAAAAAGUUCCGGCUGGGAAAUGGUGGCACACUCUUUUAAUCCUGCACUCUGGGGGGCAGACACAGGCAGAUCACUGAGUUCGAGGCCAGCCUGGUCUACAGAACUAGUUCCAGGACAGGCAAGGCUACACAAAGAAGUCCUGUCUUAAAAAAAAAAAAAAAGUUCCGUGCUUAUUCCUCCCCUAACCUGGCCCCCAGGCACACAGGACUUCUUGGGUGCCUAGCUGUCUGGUCACCUUGGUGUCUAUAUUUACAUCUACACACAGCCACAAGCAUUCCUUCUUCCCCAUAUCAUACUCAGCAAAGUAAACUCACCAAGCCCACAGGCCCUUCUUAGAGGGCCCACGAGUGCAGAGGCAUCCGUUUCUUAGCGGGUCCUCUCCUGUUGGGGAUAGACAGACAGCGGGCAGGCUGGAUAGUGGCUGGGCUGCUGCAUAUGGGCGCCCCCUGGACGCUGUUGAGGGAACUGCUCCAGGAUUCUGGCCAAGGGAGAGCCGGGCUGAUGCUCUGGGAGGAUCUGGCGAGGGAGGCUGGCACCUAUGGGGGUCUUCCUCCCCACCAGGCCCCAGGCAAGCAAAUCUUGUAUUUUGGCCAACCCCCGCCUGCUGGCCAUCAUGGUCACCGGUGUCCUUCCCCUGCUGUGGGAGAGGCUGUACUCCUGUUUCCCUGAGGUCCUGCCAUGUCUGAGAGCUAAUGCUGACUGAGGUUGCCUGCUCUGGUCCACGUGGAGGAGUGGCAUGUUUACUUGGCCACAAGGGAGCCCGGGCCUCCAUUCAGGCCUCAUCUUUCUGUCUCUCUGUGGCAUUUAGGUCCUCACCCUCCAUGUCCCAGGCUGCGGCUUCCGUGUGGUCCUUUCCUGAGAACUGAAGGGUGAGGGAGGUCUUGGCUCAGUUUGGUCAGCCAGCCCUGCUUUGAGCAAUCGGCCUUCCUCUGCGGGGCCUUGUUGCCUGGAGCCCCUGUAAUAGGGACAGGCGCUAAAGCAGAAAACACACCUCACUCUGGAUCAGAGUCUCUACUCUUUCCCGUGACAGGGCAAGCCAGUGCGGAGGUUCCUCCAUCUUGUAUUCAUGCCCAAGCUGUUUCCAGGUUUUCCUCUGGAUGGAGAAUCCCAUGGAAAAUUACCCAACUCUAUUCCAGGAACCAAAGGUCAGGAUGCACUAGCUAACUUAUCUCAACCUUUGUUAACACUGCUCGUUGGUGUGGACCCUCCUCCAGCUAACCAUUCCCCUUAGUUGCCUGUUUGUGGAGAAGCCCCUGAGGGCCAGCUGACCGCUUAUCUUAGCUUCUGUUAAAACUGCUGGCUUCAAACUGCUCACGCUGUGGAAGGUCCCCUGCAGCUGCCCAGUCAGGUUUCUGGACGAGGUCUCUGCCCUUCAAAAUCCUGUGUUCUGGACACUCAGGACAACACCUAGGUCUCUGAACACUUGGGCAUGGUCCCAGCUGGCUGGAAUAAAGACUCAGUUGGCUAUAAACUUUGAGUGGUCCUGUCUGGUGGGCUACCUGUAACACCAUGACUGGCCACAAGAGCACAGCAGACAGAUCUCAUGCUUGCCCUGUGUGUGAGGAACGGUGACAGGGAGGGAGGGAGGGAGGGAAGGAGAGAGAGAGAGGGAUGGUGACCCCUGGACUCUACAGGCCUCAGUGUUAGGAAUUUGAGGGUGGUGUGUGGUGUCUGAGGGUCUCAGGGUGUGCAGCCGGAGCUGAGGAAAAGAUAACCCGUGCUCCCAGGUAUGGAGUGGGUACUCGUUCUUCUUCUUGUGCCCCUUGGGGAUAAGUCAUUCUGGAGUUCUUUCCCUUGACUCCUCCCAUUGAGACUGAGGCAUUGCCACAGUUAGGGUCCUCCAGGCCCCGUGUUAAAGAAUUGGUCACCAGGGCGGUGUUCCUGGGGGCUGUGGAACUUUUAGGAGAUGAGGUUCCCAUCCGUCUCCUAGUGGGGGUUUCCUUCUGUCUCUGAGGCACACCCUGGAAGAGAUUUAGGGGCCUUACUGGUUUUUCUCUUUGCUUCUUGAUUACGAGGUGAACAGUUUGCUCGGCUGUUCCUUCUGGGUUGUUACCAACAGGUACCUUCACCAGAAGUCCAAAACAGUGGACCUGGACAGUAUUGGACUAUGAGAUAAAGAUUUUUAAAAUUAAUUAUAUCAGGCAUCUCACUAUAGUGAAAGGAAGCCGAGUAACACGUGCCGGAUAGCUACAAAGUAGCAGCCUGACCUGACGGAGCUGGAUGCUCAGUCCCCCCAAAGGACGGGAGUGCCCAUGAGGCCUCAGAACUUGGCCACAGUGAGCCUACCCAUCUGUCUAAAGAGUGUGUCGGUCAGUGGAGACAGAAAAAGGGCAAGUGUCAUUGUGCGGGGACAGGGGCCCCACUGCACAGAAAAUGCUGGGAUGCACUGAGCACUCUGAGGAGCUGUGGCUCCUGGAAGCAGCCCAUGGAAGCUGGCAUGUCCUGGACCUGAGUGAAGCCUCAGGGCAGCAUGCCUAGACUACAGUAGAUUCGGAAGCCGGAAGCUGAGGGGCAUGUGUCCAGGCAGUGGAAUUGAGCACAGGGCCACCAAAACGUACCACGUGCUUCCUAAGAGCUCAGCUGGGCAGGAGCCAGCAGCCUGUGAGAGAGGAGAGACAGUCACGUGAGUGAGUCCAGACUCUGCCUCAGGUUUUGUAGGCCGUACAAGGUGAACUGGGCUCUGGCUGGGAGUGAGGAUGUCAGAGGCCUGGCUUUGAGGCCAGCUUCCAAUGCUGAGAAAAGCUGUACCAACUGGUCAGGGGGUCUGGCAUUGCCUGAUGGCUGCUAUCCAUGCCUGUCGGAGGUGUGGGACUCAUAACCCACCUUCUGUCAUUCUCGAAGUCCGACAGGAGAUGGAUUGGAAGGUUAUGGGGAUCUCCUUCCAGGCGUUACAGUGUCUCUGGACCCGAGGAGACUCUCUUGGGGGGGGGCUAUGCUACUUGCCUUCCAGGGCCAAAGUGCUCCUUGGUUCUAACUGGCCGGGACAGCUGCUGCCCUGGCUAAUGGCAGUUAGAGGGCUCAGUUCCAGGAAAUAGUCUGUGCUACUCCAAGGGCAGCAUUAUCUACAGCACCGGAUGUUCUCUGUGCAGACUGCCCCUGGGAAAGAUGACAUUUCCUCUCAGGCUUAAAGGAGCAAGGCACCGGGGUCUUACUUGAGUCCUGGAUUCUUUCUAUACUCUGGAAGUAACUGACAGACGUCUUCCUUUGUCGUUGGCUGCUAUGAUGCUCAUGGUCCCAAGGCAGACCAGUCACAACAAGAAAGUCCAUGGGUAGGCACAGUAGUCAUUUUAGAGUACUUAAUGCGAAUAUUUUUGUAACUUAGAUCUUAGUCUUAUUUAAAAAAUUAUUAAGACAAACCAACAGAAACCAGUGGUGACCUCAGGAGCCAGAAAUGGUCAUAGAUCACAUUUUGGUCUGUGCCCUUCUUAUCUUUCAAAUCUUUUAUACAUUUCUAAAUGAAGAAAACACCAUGGGUGUGUUUCUUAUUAACAUGCACCCAAGGCCUCACUUAGAACACCAUGAAUACCUUUCUUGCCUUUUGUGGGUUGGGUUUUAUGCUCCAAAGGUGUCACCGUGGAGCCUUUGGAACAAGGAGAGCAUUGUGAGCUCAGCUGUGAAUCCCCCUCGGGAUUCCCAAGCUGAAGCCCUUACCCUAGUUCUUUGGAAUGUGACCACAGGUCAGGCUUCCCGUGGCUGACAGAGAGUGACAGCCAUCCUAAAAAUGUCAUAAGUGGCUCCAGUGCAAUGUGACAAACCCACAGUGGGCCAUGGAUCCAGGUCUGUUCUGCUAUUAUCAGGGAUGUGGAAGGAAACACUAGAAAUUCCAGAUUUGGGAAAUGAUGUGGGCUGUUCCUGCCUCCAAGAGGCGACUUAUGAUGGCCUCAGAUGCUGUAAGAUCCCACUGUGAAGCACUUGUGUGGAUCUUGCCUCUGACCCUGGGUCCUUUCCUGGGUCUUCUGAGCUCCAAGGAUCAGGGGUUGGGGCUGCUGUCUGGCAGCUGUGUGGAUGAACCCUUCAGAGGAGGCCAGAGUUGGAUGCUGUGUUCUGGAUUUUUCUGGCCAGAAAGAGAUGCAUAAAUGCUAAUACUUUGGCAUCCCUGCCUCUGCAGAUCUGGCAUUGUUCAGUGCCUGGCUGUGGGGUGGAGUGCUAUGGUUCUUGCCUAUAUGCCGAUGAUGCUGUAUGAAUGAGGCUCAUAUAUUUAUGAGAUACAGAAAAAUGAGCCAGUCUCUAAAAUAAAAACAUACUGUUUAUACACUGGACACAAAACUCCCUUUAUUUUAACAAUGCUUUAAGACCUGUAACUAACUUGUACUUGUCAACAUUUAAUUAAAAUCAAAGUUUAAAA